rnacentral:rRNA from 1 species
CGGUUAAAAAGCUCGUAGUUGGAUUUCUGUCCGAGGCAGCCGGUCCGCACUUAGUGCGUGUAUCUGGUUUGGCUAGGGCAUCCUCUUGGGGAACGUUUCUGUGCUUAAUUGCAUGGGGCGGAAUUCAAGACUUUUACUUUGAGGAAAUUAGAGUGUUCACGGCAAGCUAUCGCUUUGAAUACAUUAGCAUGGAAUAAUAAUAUAAGGCGUGAGUUCUAUUUUGUUGGUUUCUAGGACAUACGCAAUGAUUAAUAGGGACAAUUGGGGGCAUUCGUAUUAACGCGUCAGAGGUGGAAUUCUUAGAUUGCGUUACGACGAACUACUGCGAAAGCAUUUGCCAAGGAUGUUUUCAUUGAUCAAGAACGAAAGUAUGGGGAUCGAAGACGAUUAGAUACCGUCGUAGUCUAUACCAUAAACUAUGCCAAUUAGAGAUAGGUAGUCGUUCGUUUUAUGACUCUAUCUGCAUCUUAUGAGAAAUCAAAAUUUUUGGGUUCCGGGGGGAGUAUGGUCGCAACGCUGAAACUUAAAGGAAUUGACGGAAGGGCACCACCAGGAGUGGAGCCUGCGGCUUAAUUUGACUCAACACGGGAAAACUUACCAGGUCCAGACAUAGUAAGGAUUGA